rnacentral:rRNA from 1 species
UACGUAGGGUGCUAGCGUUAAUCGGAAUUACUGGGCGUAAAGCGUGCGCAGGCGGUGAUGUAAGACAGGUGUGAAAUCCCCGGGCUUAACCUGGGAACUGCAUUUGUGACUGCAUCGCUGGAGUGCGGCAGAGGGGGAUGGAAUUCCGCGUGUAGCAGUGAAAUGCGUAGAUAUGCGGAGGAACACCGAUGGCGAAGGCAAUCCCCUGGGCCUGCACUGACGCUCAUGCACGAAAGCGUGGGGAGCAAACAGG